CUUGAGUCCUGACUCCAAGGGUUUUUCCUGCCGAUACCACCACCUAGUCUUUUCUUUUGGUUGAAGCUGCAUUGUGGGACUAAUUCCUUUCAUCCAUUCACUAGGGUAGGGAAAGAGCAGCUAUGUCUAGAUGCACCAACUCCUUCUUGUGGCAAAUUUCCAUGGGUGCUUGGGAUUCCCAUAGAACCUGAGGUUCCUGUAAAUACUGAAACGACUCCACUGCAUUGCAACAUGAUUAGACAUUUGCAUCCAGGGCAGCGGAAGGAUUGCAUGGGCCCAGUGCCAUCUUACUAACACCGAACAAGAAGGAAAAUAGAUUUGAAAGCCAGCAGUACAGCCGGCUGUUGUGGUCCCCACUAGGCAGCUGCAAGCUGCA
rnacentral:lncRNA from 1 species